GUCUAUUUGAUGUGUCCCAAACAGGAUGAAACGCACGUUAUGGAU
rnacentral:hammerhead_ribozyme from 1 species